GUGCCAGCCGCCGCGGUAAGACAGAGGGUGCAAACGUUGUUCGGAAUUACUGGGCGUAAAGCGCGUGUAGGCGGCUAUGUAAGUCGGGCGUGAAAUCCCACGGCUCAACUGUGGAAGUGCACUCGAAACUGCGUAGCUAGAGUCCUGGAGAGGAAGGUGGAAUACUUGGUGUAGAGGUGAAAUUCGUAGAUAUCAAGUGGAACACCAGUGGCGAAGGCGGCCUUCUGGACAGUGACUGACGCUGAGACGCGAAAGCGUGGGGAGCAAACAGGAUUAGAUACCCGGGUAGUCC
rnacentral:rRNA from 1 species